rnacentral:rRNA from 1 species
AAUAUUGGACAAUGGGGGCAACCCUGAUCCAGCCAUGCCGCGUGUGUGAAGAAGGUCUUCGGAUUGUAAAGCAUUUUUAGUUGGGAGGAAUGGCUUGAGGUUAAUACCCUGAAGUUUUGACGUUACCAACAUAAUAAGCACCGGCUAACGCUGUGCCAGCAGCCGCGGUAUUACAGCGGGUGCAAGCUUUAAUCGGAAUUACUGGGCGUAAAGAGCGCGUAGGUGGUUCAGUAAGAUGGGUGUGAAAUCCCCGGGCUUAACCUGGGAACUGCUUUCAUAACUGCUGAGCUAGAGUACGGUAGAGGGUAGUGGAAUUUCCUGUGUAGCGGUGAAAUGCGUAGAUAUAGGAAGGAACACCAGUGGCGAAGGCGACUACCUGGACUGAUACUGACACUGAGGUGCGAAAGCGUGGGGAGCAAAC